UGUGUGUGUGUAUGUGUGUAUACAUAUAUGUAUAUGUAUAUAUACAUAUAGAUAUAUAUAUAUAUAUACACACAUAUA